CACGAAAGCUGUGCCCUUCUGUGAUGAGAAUGGAAGCAUGUCUUGAAUGUCCCCUGCCCUCCAUGUCAGACCAUCGCAGCUCGCUUCUGUGGAGUUUUCCUGGAGAUACUGCCUCGGUGACCAGACAGAGCAGUGGUUCUCCAUCUUGGCCCCUAGGCCAGCUGUAGCUGCACCUGAGUACUCUGCCUUAAAAGCCCUUGCCCUGUGGGAGUCUCUGGUGCAUAUUAGAAGUGGAGGGCUAUCUACCGGGUUCCCUCAACCACCUGUCGAGUAAGAUGUCCCAUUUUGUAGUCAUGGGGAGGGGGGAGUACUCAAGAGGGAGCACUUGGCUGAAGGGAGCACUCAGCAGGAGGGAAAUCUCAGCUUCUCCUUAUGUUGAUCUAUCAAACAGACAUUGUUAAGAACAGGUGUGUCUCCCAUUUUCCAGACAGAGCCUGUGGAAGUUAUGUCAAGCCAGAACCCAUGGUUUAUAGAACAAAUGACUUGACUAGUGUAGUCAGAUAAAAGAUAGGGAAGAUUCUGACAGGUCCCUGUCCUUUACUUAGCCUGAAGAAGGUAAGUAUCACCUGUUCAUUGUCUCCUAUUUCAGUCUCCCAGGAGUCAGCAGCUGAGGUCCAUGGUAGUUGCUUCCAUGCUCCUUGCUCCCUGCUCCCUGCUACAGUCUCUCCAU